CAGCAGCCGCGGUAAUACGGAGGGUGCAAGCGUUAAUCGGAAUUACUGGGCGUAAAGCGCACGCAGGCGGUCUGACAAGUCAGAUGUGAAAUCCCCGGGCUUAACCUGGGAACUGCAUUUGAAACUGUCAGGCUGGAGUCUUGUAGAGGGGGGUGGAAUUCCAGGUGUAGCGGUGAAAUGCGUAGAGAUCUGGAGGAAUACCGGUGGCGAAGGCGGCCCCCUGGACAAAGACUGACGCUCAGGUGCGAAAGCGUGGGGAGCAAACAGGAUUAGAUACCCGCGUAGUCCCCGUCUCUUAUAC
rnacentral:rRNA from 1 species